UGACGGUACCUGACUAAGAAGCCCCGGCUAACUACGUGCCAGCAGCCGCGGUAAUACGUAGGGGGCAAGCGUUAUCCGGAUUUACUGGGUGUAAAGGGUGCGUAGACGGUCGCGCAAGUCAGAAGUGAAAUCCCGGGGCUUAACCCCGGUGCUGCUUUUGAAACUGUACGACUAGAGUGCUGGAGGGGCAAGCGGAAUUCCUGGUAUAGCGGUGAAAUGCGUAGAUAUCAGGAGGAACACCGGUGGCGAAGGCGGCUUGCUGGACAGUAACUGACGUUGAGGCACGAAAGCGUGGGGAGCAAACAGGAUUAGAUACCCUG
rnacentral:rRNA from 1 species